GCCCAGGUGGCGGAAUUGGUAGACGCGCUAGAUUUAGGCUCUAGUAUCGAGAGAUGUGCAGGUUCGACCCCUGUCCUGGGUACCA
rnacentral:tRNA from 1 species